ACGACCUUACUUGAACAGGAUCUGUUCUAUAGGCUCGUACCGUUGCAUCCUUUACCAAUAAGGAGGCAAGCUCUCAAGUCUGGUUGAUGCCGACAUAACCUCCGGGCCAGAGCGUGAUUUAACGGCUAGGGUGCAUGUUUGAGCCAUCCGACGGCUGCAGAGGAUCGUUCCUGCCUGGUUCACUCCGGUGCAGGGUGGCCCAGAGGUUGUCUGACAGACA
rfam:Oryza sativa (indica cultivar-group) chromosome 5, whole genome shotgun sequence.